AAACACAAAACACUUUGCUCGAUCUUCUUAUUGUUUUUUUUUUCCCUUCUUCUUAGCUAUCAACUCUUCAUCUCUUCUAUCACUACUUUAAUGGCCGCAUUGAAUUUGCAUACAGGAGGAUUACACGCCGCAUUGAAAUCCGACGUGGCGGUUAAAUCAGCUGCGUCGUUGGAUCGGCUUUCAUCGGCGAAGAACAUCGGUGAUUUGUUCUUCUCCGAUUUAAGUUUCCACCGGAAACGAGUGAACGGUUUGUGUCAAAUCGUGGCUGUUAAAUCACCUGACCAUAUUCGUGGUGCUAAUAACAAUGUUCAUGCUAGUUAUGAUGAUGAUGAUAACAGUAAUUUCAAUCUACCUCUUACGUCAUCUUCCAGUCCUUACAGUCUGGGAAAAGAAAGUGUGUAUCUGAACUCUCCAAGAAAAACCAAGAUAGUUUGCACUAUUGGUCCCUCUACAAGCUCAAAGGAGAUGAUUUGGAAAUUGGCAGAAGCUGGGAUGAACGUGGCACGUAUGAAUAUGUCACACGGAGACCAUGCAUCACAUCAGAAAACAAUUGACCUUGUUAAAGAAUACAAUGCUCAAUUUGAGAACAAGGUUAUAGCAAUAAUGUUGGACACUAAGGGACCUGAGGUGAGAAGUGGAGAUGUGCCAAAACCCAUACUCCUUAAGGAGGG
rnacentral:misc_RNA from 1 species